rnacentral:ncRNA from 1 species
GGCUGAGGUUGCAAAACCGCAUGAGUACCGCUGGCCAAACCGGCUGGCAGGCCGGAGGCGGGAAGGGGCGUUUUGCCGAAGCUUCCGGUGCGCUGUCACGCCCGGCGGCUGGGCCGGUGCAAAACAUGUACCGGACUGUCAUCUCGAUGGAGAUGGAGCGCAUCC